GCCCAAGUGGCGGAAUGGCAGACGCAAGGGACUUAAAAUCCCUCGGUAGAAAUACCGUACCGGUUCGAGUCCGGUUUUGGGCACCA
rnacentral:tRNA from 2 species